rnacentral:tRNA from 1 species
GCUUUGGUGGUUCAGUGGUAGAAUGCUUGCCUUCCACGCAGGAGACCUGAGCU